rnacentral:rRNA from 1 species
AGGGUUUGAUCCUGGCUCAGAACGAACGGUGGCGGUGUGCUUAUUACAUGCAAGUCGAGCGAGAACCGGCUUUUGUCGGGGAGAGCGGCGAAAGGGUGAGUAACGUAUAGAUAACCUGCCCUCAAGAGGGGGAUAACAAUUCGAAAGGGUUGCUAAUACCGCGUACGAUUACUUUAACGCAUGUUAGAGUAAUGGAAGUGGGGGACCUUCGGGCCUCACACUUGAGGAGGGGUCUAUAUCCUAUUAGCUAGUUGGCAGGGUAAGAGCCUACCAAGGCAAUUAUGGGUAGCCGGCCUGAGAGGGUGAUCGGCCACACGGGCACUGAGACACGGGCCCGACUCCUACGGGAGGCAGCAGUAAGGAAUAUUGGGCAAUGGGCGCAAGCCUGACCCAGCGACACCGCGUGGAUGAAGAAGGCUUUCGGGUUGUAAAGUCCUAACACGUAUUAAGAAGGUAACAUGUGUUAAUACCACGAGUUAUCAGACGAAGGUACGAGAUGAAGUCAUGGCUAACUCUGUGCCAGCAGCCGCGGUAAUACAGAGAUGGCGACCGUUGUUCGGAAUUACUGGGCUUAAAGGGCAUGUAGGCGGAAUGUUAAGUUGGUUGUGAAAUCCCAUGGCUUACCCAUGGAACUGCAGCUAAAACUGGCAUUCUUGAGUGCGGUAGGGGGGAGUGGAACUCCUGGUGGAGCGGUGAAAUGUGUUGAUAUCAGGAGGAACGCCGGAGGCGAAAGCGACUCUCUGGACCGCAACUGACGCUGAGGUGCGAAAGCCAGGGGAGCAAACGGGAUUAGAUACCCCGGUAGUCCUGGCCGUAAACGAUGAACACUAGGUAGGGGAGCAUCCCUUCUCUGCUGAAGCAAAAGUAUUAGUGUUCCGCCUGGGGAGUAUGGUCGCAAGGCUGAAACUCAAAGGAAUUGACGGGGGCUCGCACAAGCGGUGGAGCAUGUGGUUUAAUUCGAACCAACGCGAAGAACCUUACCUGGGCUUGACAUACUAGAAUUAGCUGCCUGAAAGGGUGGUGACGCUCUUAGGAGUGGAACUAGUACAGGUGUUGCAUGGCUGUCGUCAGCUCGUGCCGUGAGGUGUUGGGUUAAGUCCCAUAACGAGCGAAACCUUUAUCCUUAGUUGCCAGCGGGUGAAGCCGGGGACUCUAGGGAGACUGCAUACGUUAAGUGUGAGGAAGGUGGAGACGACGUCAAGUCAUCAUGGCCCUUAUGCCCAGGGCUACACACGUGCUACAAUGGCCGGUACAAAGGGAGGCAAUACCGAAAGGUGGAGCGAAUCCCAAAAAGCUGGUCCCAGUUCGGAUUGAGGGCUGCAAUUCGCCCUCAUGAAGUUGGAAUCGCUAGUAAUCGCAGGUCAGCCAUACUGCGGUGAAUGUGUUCCCGAGCCUUGUACACACCGCCCGUCAACCCACCGAAGCAGGGGCAGCCCGAAGUCACUGACCUAACCUUUCGAGGGGGGAGGUGCCCAAGGAAGCUUCUGUGACGGGGACUAAGUCGUAACAAGGUA